AAUAGAUACCCAGGUAGUCCAUGCCGUAAACGAUGAGAACUGGAUGUCAGGUGGCUUGACCACUUGGUGUCGUAGCUAACGCGUUAAGUUCUCCGCCUGGGGAGUACGGCCGCAAGGUUAAAACUCAAAUGAAUUGACGGGGGCCCGCACAAGCGGUGGAGCAUGUGGUUUAAUUCGACGCAACCCGAAGAACCUUACCUGCCUUUGAAUCCACGGAAUCUUGCAGAGAUGCGAGAGUGCCUUCGGGAACCGUGAGACAGGUGCUGCAUGGCUGUCGUCAGCUCGUGUCGUGAGAUGUUGGGUUAAGUCCCGUAACGAGCGCAACCCUUGUCCUUAGUUGCCAGCGAGUCAUGUCGGGUACUUUAAGGAGACUGCCGGUGAUAAACCGGAGGAAGGUGGGGAUGACGUCAAGUCCUCAUGGCCCUUAUAGGCAGGGCUACACACGUGCUACAAUGGCCAGUACAAAGGGACGCCAACUCGCAAGGGGGAGCUAAACUCAUAAAGCUGGUCGUAGUCCGGAUUGGAGU
rnacentral:rRNA from 1 species